AGAGUUUGAUCAUGGCUCAGAAUCAACGCUGGCGGCGUGCCUCAGACAUGCAAGUCGAACGGUUAAGACUUCCUUCGGGAAGUGCAUAAAGUGGCGCACGGGUGAGUAACACGUAAGUAAUCUACCUUCGAGUGGGGAAUAACGUCCGGAAACGGACGCUAAUACCGCAUAAUGCAGCGGCAUCGUAAGAUGACAGUUGUUAAAGGAGCAAUUCGCUUGAAGAGGAGCUUGCGGCAGAUUAGCUAGUUGGUAAGGUAAUGGCUUACCAAGGCUACGAUCUGUAACCGGUCUAAGAGGACGGUCGGUCACACUGACACUGAAUAACGGGUCAGACUCCUACGGGAGGCAGCAGUCGGGAAUUUUGGGCAAUGGGCGAAAGCCUGACCCAGCAACGCCGCGUGAAGGAUGAAGUAUUUCGGUAUGUAAACUUCGAAAGAAUAGGAAGAAUUAAUGACGGUACUAUUUAUAAGGUCCGGCUAACUACGUGCCAGCAGCCGCGGUAAUACGUAGGGACCAAGCGUUGUUCGGAUUUACUGGGCGUAAAGGGCGCGUAGGCGGCAUGACAAGUCACUUGUGAAAUCUCCGGGCUUAACUCGGAACGGUCAAGUGAUACUGUCGCGCUAGAGUGCGGAAGGGGCAAUCAGAAUUCUUGGUGUAGCGGUGAAAUGCAGAUAUCAAGAGGAAUACCUGAGGUGAAGACGGGUUGCUAGGCCGACACUGACGCUGAAGCGCGAAAGCCAGGGGAGCAAACGGGAUUAGAUACCCUAGUAGUCC
rnacentral:rRNA from 1 species